CCUACGGGCGGCAGCAGUGGGGAAUAUUGCGCAAUGGACGAAAGUCUGACGCAGCGACGCCGCGUGAGGGAUGAAGGUUUUCGGAUCGUAAACCUCUGUCAGGAGGGAAGAAAGCGCAUGGCGCCAAUCAGCCAUGCGUUGACGGUACCUACAAAGGAAGCGCCGGCUAACUCCGUGCCAGCAGCCGCGGUAAUACGGAGGGCGCGAGCGUUAAUCGGAAUUACUGGGCGUAAAGCGCGCGUAGGCGGUCGGGUAAGUGGGGGGUGAAAUCCCACGGCUCAACGGUGGAACUGCCUUUGAUACUGGGCGACUGGAGUGCGGGAGAGGGUGGCGGAAUGCCAGGUGUAGGAGUGAAAUCCGUAGAUAUCUGGAGGAACACCAGUGGCGAAGGCGGCUACCUGGACCGGUAUUGACGCUGAGGCGCGAAAGCGUGGGGAGCAAACAGGAUUAGAUACCCCAGUAGUC
rnacentral:rRNA from 1 species